GUUUAGUGGCAGACGGGUGAGUAACACGUAGGUAAUCUUCCCUAGAGUGGAGGACAACCUGGCGAAAGCCGGGCUAAUACUCCAUAGGACCACGAUCCCGCAUGGGAUUGGGGUUAAAAUUUCGAUGCUCAAGGACGAACCUGCGGCCUAUCACGGUAGUUGGUGGGGUAAUGGCCCACCAAGCCAACGACGGGUAGCCGGCCUGAAAGGGCGAACGGCCACACUGGCACUGGGACACGGGCCAGACUCCUACGGGAGGCAGCAGUGAGGAAUAUUGGACAAUGGGGGAAACCCUGAUCCAGCGACGCCGCGUGGAGGACGAAGGUCUUCGGAUUGUAAACUCCUUUUGUGGGGGAAGAAUAAAUGACGGUACCCCACGAAUAAGCCACGGCUAACUACGUGCCAGCAGCCGCGGUAAUACGUAGGUGGCAAGCGUUACUCGGAAUCACUAGGCGUAAAGCGCGGGUAGGCGGCUCGGCAAGUCUGUCGUGAAAGCUCCUGGCUUAACUGGGANAGGUCGGCGGAUACUACCGAGCUUGAGUGUGGGGAGGGGGACUGGAAUUCCCGGAGUAGCGGUGAAAUGCGCAGAUAUCGGGAGGAACACCAUGGCGAAAGCAGGCACCUGGACCAAUACUGACGCUGAGCCGCGAAAGCUAGGGGAGCAAACAGGAUUAGAUACCCUGGUAGUCCUAGCUGUAAACGAUGCACACUAGAUAUGGGAGGUAUCGACCCCUUCCGUGUCGCAGCUAACGCUUUAAGUGUGCCGCCUGGGGAGUACGGCCGCAAGGUUGAAACUCAAAGGAAUUGACGGGGGCCCGCACAAGCGGUGGAGCAUGUGGUUUAAUUCGACGCAACGCGAAGAACCUUACCUGGGCUUGAACUGUAGGAAGUAGAAUUCUAGAAAUAGAAGACGACUCGUAAAGUCGAGAGCCUAUAGAGGUGCUGCAUGGUUGUCGUCAGCUCGUGUCGUGAGAUGUUGGGUUAAGUCCCGCAACGAGCGCAACCCUUAUUCUAUGUUGCUAUUCCCGCAAGGGAAGCACUCUUAGGAAACUGCCUCGGAUAACGGGGAGGAAGGUGGGGACGACGUCAAAUCAUCAUGGCCCUUAUGUCCAGGGCUACACACGUGCUACAAUGGUCGGUACAAUGGGAUGCAAGACCGCAAGGUGGAGCAAAACCCUUAAAGCCGGCCCCAGUUCGGAUCGUGGGCUGAAAUUCGCCCACGUGGAGCAGGAAUCGCUAGUAAUCGCGGAUCAGCAGGCCGCGGUGAAUACGUUCCCGGGCCUUGUACACACCGCCCGUCACACCACGAAAGCCCGCUGCAACAGAAAUCCCCGCGCAAGUGGGGCUGAAGUUGUGGUUGGUGAUUGGGGUGAAGUCGUAACAAGGUAGCC
rnacentral:rRNA from 1 species